rnacentral:tRNA from 1 species
AUUAAUUUGGCAGAAUAGUGCAUAAGAUUUAGGUUCUUAGAAUAUAAUAAUUUAUUGUAAUUAAUA